rnacentral:rRNA from 1 species
GGGAUCGAAGAUGAUUAGAUACCAUUGUAGUCCUAGCCAUAAACGAUGCCGACUUGGGAUUCGAGAAGUACUUUUUUUUAUGUCUUCUCGAGCACCAAAUGAGAAAUCAAAGUCUUUGGGUUCCGGGGGGAGUAUGGUCGCAAGGCUGAAACUUAAAGGAAUUGACGGAAGGGCACACCAGAAGUGGAGCCUGCGGCUCAAUUCGACUCAACACGGGAAAACUUACCAGGUCCAGACUUCGUAAGGAUUGACAGAUUGAGAGCUCUUUCUUGAUUCGAAGGGUGGUGGUGCAUGGCCGUUCUUAGUUGGUGGAGUGAUUUGUCUGGUUGAUUCCGUUAACGAACGAGACCUCGGCCUACUAACUAGUGCCGCGAAUUUUGCGAUUCGUUAGUAUUUGGCGCUUCUUAGAGGGACAAUUCGGUUUUACCGGAAGGAAGUUCGUG